GCGGUCGUAGCUCAAUGGUAGAGCACGAGCUUGUGGUGCUCGGUGUUGCGGGUUCGAGUCCCGUCGAUCGCCCA
rnacentral:tRNA from 1 species